rnacentral:tRNA from 1 species
GGCUAUAUUAGCUUAAUGGUACAGAGUACUCAGCCAAUAUCUGAGAGGCAUAGGGUUCAAUUCUCUGUAGCCA